GGUUAAGCGACUAAGCGUACACGGUGGAUGCCCUGGCAGUCAGAGGCGAUGAAGGACGUGCUAAUCUGCGAUAAGCGUCGGUAAGGUGAUAUGAACCGUUAUAACCGGCGAUUUCCGAAUGGGGAAACCCAGUGUGUUUCGACACACUAUCAUUAACUGAAUCCAUAGGUUAAUGAGGCGAACCGGGGGAACUGAAACAUCUAAGUACCCCGAGGAAAAGAAAUCAACCGAGAUUCCCCCAGUAGCGGCGAGCGAACGGGGAGCAGCCCAGAGCCUGAAUCAGUGUGUGUGUUAGUGGAAGCGUCUGGAAAGGCGCGCGAUACAGGGUGACAGCCCCGUACACAAAAAUGCACAUGCUGUGAGCUCGAUGAGUAGGGCGGGACACGUGGUAUCCUGUCUGAAUAUGGGGGGACCAUCCUCCAAGGCUAAAUACUCCUGACUGACCGAUAGUGAACCAGUACCGUGAGGGAAAGGCGAAAAGAACCCCGGCGAGGGGAGUGAAAAAGAACCUGAAACCGUGUACGUACAAGCAGUGGGAGCACGCUUAGGCGUGUGACUGCGUACCUUUUGUAUAAUGGGUCAGCGACUUAUAUUCUGUAGCAAGGUUAACCGAAUAGGGGAGCCGAAGGGAAACCGAGUCUUAACUGGGCGUUAAGUUGCAGGGUAUAGACCCGAAACCCGGUGAUCUAGCCAUGGGCAGGUUGAAGGUUGGGUAACACUAACUGGAGGACCGAACCGACUAAUGUUGAAAAAUUAGCGGAUGACUUGUGGCUGGGGGUGAAAGGCCAAUCAAACCGGGAGAUAGCUGGUUCUCCCCGAAAGCUAUUUAGGUAGCGCCUCGUGAAUUCAUCUCCGGGGGUAGAGCACUGUUUCGGCAAGGGGGUCAUCCCGACUUACCAACCCGAUGCAAACUGCGAAUACCGGAGAAUGUUAUCACGGGAGACACACGGCGGGUGCUAACGUCCGUCGUGAAGAGGGAAACAACCCAGACCGCCAGCUAAGGUCCCAAAGUCAUGGUUAAGUGGGAAACGAUGUGGGAAGGCCCAGACAGCCAGGAUGUUGGCUUAGAAGCAGCCAUCAUUUAAAGAAAGCGUAAUAGCUCACUGGUCGAGUCGGCCUGCGCGGAAGAUGUAACGGGGCUAAACCAUGCACCGAAGCUGCGGCAGCGACGCUUAUGCGUUGUUGGGUAGGGGAGCGUUCUGUAAGCCUGUGAAGGUGUGCUGUGAGGCAUGCUGGAGGUAUCAGAAGUGCGAAUGCUGACAUAAGUAACGAUAAAGCGGGUGAAAAGCCCGCUCGCCGGAAGACCAAGGGUUCCUGUCCAACGUUAAUCGGGGCAGGGUGAGUCGACCCCUAAGGCGAGGCCGAAAGGCGUAGUCGAUGGGAAACAGGUUAAUAUUCCUGUACUUGGUGUUACUGCGAAGGGGGGACGGAGAAGGCUAUGUUGGCCGGGCGACGGUUGUCCCGGUUUAAGCGUGUAGGCUGGUUUUCCAGGCAAAUCCGGAAAAUCAAGGCUGAGGCGUGAUGACGAGGCACUACGGUGCUGAAGCAACAAAUGCCCUGCUUCCAGGAAAAGCCUCUAAGCAUCAGGUAACAUCAAAUCGUACCCCAAACCGACACAGGUGGUCAGGUAGAGAAUACCAAGGCGCUUGAGAGAACUCGGGUGAAGGAACUAGGCAAAAUGGUGCCGUAACUUCGGGAGAAGGCACGCUGAUAUGUAGGUGAAGUCCCUCGCGGAUGGAGCUGAAAUCAGUCGAAGAUACCAGCUGGCUGCAACUGUUUAUUAAAAACACAGCACUGUGCAAACACGAAAGUGGACGUAUACGGUGUGACGCCUGCCCGGUGCCGGAAGGUUAAUUGAUGGGGUUAGCGCAAGCGAAGCUCUUGAUCGAAGCCCCGGUAAACGGCGGCCGUAACUAUAACGGUCCUAAGGUAGCGAAAUUCCUUGUCGGGUAAGUUCCGACCUGCACGAAUGGCGUAAUGAUGGCCAGGCUGUCUCCACCCGAGACUCAGUGAAAUUGAACUCGCUGUGAAGAUGCAGUGUACCCGCGGCAAGACGGAAAGACCCCGUGAACCUUUACUAUAGCUUGACACUGAACAUUGAGCCUUGAUGUGUAGGAUAGGUGGGAGGCUUUGAAGUGUGGACGCCAGUCUGCAUGGAGCCGACCUUGAAAUACCACCCUUUAAUGUUUGAUGUUCUAACGUUGACCCGUAAUCCGGGUUGCGGACAGUGUCUGGUGGGUAGUUUGACUGGGGCGGUCUCCUCCUAAAGAGUAACGGAGGAGCACGAAGGUUGGCUAAUCCUGGUCGGACAUCAGGAGGUUAGUGCAAUGGCAUAAGCCAGCUUGACUGCGAGCGUGACGGCGCGAGCAGGUGCGAAAGCAGGUCAUAGUGAUCCGGUGGUUCUGAAUGGAAGGGCCAUCGCUCAACGGAUAAAAGGUACUCCGGGGAUAACAGGCUGAUACCGCCCAAGAGUUCAUAUCGACGGCGGUGUUUGGCACCUCGAUGUCGGCUCAUCACAUCCUGGGGCUGAAGUAGGUCCCAAGGGUAUGGCUGUUCGCCAUUUAAAGUGGUACGCGAGCUGGGUUUAGAACGUCGUGAGACAGUUCGGUCCCUAUCUGCCGUGGGCGCUGGAGAACUGAGGGGGGCUGCUCCUAGUACGAGAGGACCGGAGUGGACGCAUCACUGGUGUUCGGGUUGUCAUGCCAAUGGCACUGCCCGGUAGCUAAAUGCGGAAGAGAUAAGUGCUGAAAGCAUCUAAGCACGAAACUUGCCCCGAGAUGAGUUCUCCCUGACUCCUUGAGAGUCCUGAAGGAACGUUGAAGACGACGACGUUGAUAGGCCGGGUGUGUAAGCGCAGCGAUGCGUUGAGCUAACCGGUACUAAUGAACCGUGAGGCUUAACCUU
rnacentral:rRNA from 1 species